AACGAACGCUGGCGGCAGGCUUAACACAUGCAAGUCGAGCGCCCCGCAAGGGGAGCGGCAGACGGGUGAGUAACGCGUGGGAAUCUACCCAUCUCUACGGAAUAACGCAUGGAAACGUGUGCUAAUACCGUAUACGUCCUUCGGGAGAAAGAUUUAUCGGAGAUGGAUGAGCCCGCGUUGGAUUAGCUAGUUGGUGGGGUAAAGGCCUACCAAGGCGACGAUCCAUAGCUGGUCUGGGAGGAUGAUCAGCGACACUGGGUCUGAGACACGGCCCAGACGCCUACGGGAGGCAGCAGUGGGGAAUAUUGGACAAUGGGCGCAAGCCUGAUACAGCCGUGCCGCGUGAGUGAUGAAGGCCCUAGGGUUGUAAAGCUCUUUCACCGGUGAAGAUAAUGACGGUAACCGGAGAAGAAGCCCCGGCUAACUUCGUGCCAGCCGCCGCCGUAACAC
rnacentral:rRNA from 1 species